rnacentral:rRNA from 1 species
CCUACGGGAGGCAGCAGUGAGGAAUAUUGGUCAAUGGCCGGAAGUCUGAACCAGCCAUGCCGCGUGCAGGAAGACGGCUCUAUGAGUUGUAAACUGCUUUUGUCCAUGGGUAAACCUGAAUACGUGUAUGCAGCUGACAGUAUCGUACGAAUAAGGAUCGGCUAACUCCGUGCCAGCAGCCGCGGUAAUACGGAGGAUUCAAGCGUUAUCCGGAGUUAUUGGGUUUAAAGGGUGCGUCGGCGGUCGGAUAAGUUAGAGGUGAAAUCCCGAGGCUCAACUUCGGAAUUGCCUAUGAUACUGUUCGGCUAGAGAGUAGUGGCGGUAGGCGGAAUGUAUGGUGUAGCGGUGAAAUGCUUAGAGAUCAUACAGAACACCGAUUGCGAAGGCAGCUUACCAAGCUACUUCUGACGUUGAGGCACGAAAGCGUGGGUAGCAAACAGGAUUAGAUACCCCAGUAGUC